rnacentral:lncRNA from 10 species
AGGGUUUCACCACCAUGUUAGCCAUGCUCGUCUCCAACUCCUGACCUCAGGUGACCCUCCUGCCUCGGCCUCCCAAAGUGCUGGGAUUACAGACGUGAGCUACCGUGUCUGGCCUUCCUCAAAAAUUUAAUAUCAGAGUCUUCCAUUGAUUUCUAGGAUAACUGGCUAGCCAUAUGCAGAAGAUUGAAACAGGACCCCUUCUUUUCACCAUAAACAAAAAUCAACUCAAGAUGGAUUAAAGACUUAAAUGUUAGGCUCCAAACUAUAAAAAUCCUAGAAGAAAACCUAGGAAGUACCAUUCUGGACAUGGGCCUUGGAAGAGAUUUCAUGAUAAAGUCACCAAAAGCAAUUGCAACAAAAACAAAAAUUGACAAAUAGGACCAAACUAAUCUAAAGAUCUUCUGCACUGUAAAAAAAAUAAAAAUAAAAAUAAAAUAAAUCAACAGAAUAAACAGACAACGUACAAAAUGAGAGAAAGUAUUUUCAAACUAUCCUACAAAGGUGUAAUAUCCAGAAUCUAUAAGAAACUUAAAUUAAUGAGCAAAAAAUGAACAACUUUAAUAAAAAGUGGGCAAAAGGACAUGAACAGUCACUUCUAAAAAGAAGACAUACACGUGGACAAUAGGCAUAUGAAAAAAUGCUCAUCAUCACAAAUCAUCAGAGAAAUGCAAAUCAAAACCACAAUGAGAUACUACCUCAUACUAGUCAGAAUAGCUAUUAUUAAAAGUCAAAAAAUAACAGAUACUGGUGAGGUUGUAGAGAAAAGAGAACACUUAUACACUGCUGAUGGGAAUGUAAACUAGUUCAACCACUGUGAAGCAAUUUGGAGAUUUCUCAAAGAGCUUAAAACAGAACUACAAUUCAACCCAACAAUCCCAUCCCUGGGUAUAUGCCCAAAAGAAUAUAAAUCAUUCUGCCAUAAAGACACAUGCACACAUAUGUUCAUUGAAGCACUAUUUACAAUAGCAAAGACAUAGAAUCAACCUAAAUGCCCAUCAACAAUGGACUAGAUAAAGAAAAUGUGGUACAUAAGCUGGGCGUGGUGGCUCACGCCUGUAAUCUCCGCACUAUGGGAGGCCGAGGUGGGCGGAUCACGAGGUCAGGAGAUCGAGACCAUCCUGGCCAACACAGUGAAACCCCGUCUUUACUAAAAAUACAAAAAAAUUAGCCGGGCAUGGUGGCAGGCGCCUAUAGUCCCAGCUACUCGGGAGGCUGAGGCAGGAGAAUGGCGUGAACCCAGGAGGCGGAGCUUGCAGUGAGCCGAGAUCACGCCACUGCACUCCAGCCUGUGCAACAGAGUGACACUCUGUCUCAAAAAAAAAAAAAAAAAAAGAAAAAGAAAAGAAAAGAAAAUGUGGUACAUUUGCACAAUGGAAUACUACACAGCCGUAAAAAAGAAUGAGAUCAUGUCCUUUGCAGCAGCAUGGAUGCAGCUAGAGGCCAUUAUCCUAAGCAAAUUAACACAGGAAUAGAAAACUAACCAUCACAUGUUCUCACUUAUAAGUGGGAUCUAAGCAUCGAGUACAUAUGGACACAAAGAAGGAAACAAUAGACACCGGGGCCUACUUGAGAGUGGAGGGUGGGAGGAGGAAAAGGAUCAAAAAAUUGCCUAUCAGGUACUAUACUUAUUACCUGGUGGGCAAAAUAAUCUCUAUACCAAACCCCCACGACACACAGUUUACCCGUAUUACAAACCUGCACAUGUACCCCCUUUAUCCAAAAAGUUGUAAAUAAAAAAAAGAAGACCAAAUUUGCUCAAAUAUUUUUCUAUGACAGAAUCUUCCUCUGAAUUCUUGAUUGACAUAUCAAAGUGCCUUCUUCUUGGCAUCUCCACUUGACUGUCUCAUAUACAACUUAAACUCACCCUUUCUCCCUAAACUGGUUACCUCUGGUAUUCCUCUAUUAGUACAUAUAACCAGCAUUCAAUGUGUUAUGAAGCUAUAAAUCCAGGAAUUAUCUCCACUACUUCUGUCGCACUGACCCUUAAUAUCCAAUCCAUCACUGAGUCCUGAAGUUUAGAAUUUCCAUAUCCUUUUAUUCACAUAUUCCUCAUCCCAGUCAAUGCUACCAUUAUGUUUCACUUGGACUACUGCAAUACCUUUCAGAGGGCUCUCUUCUCAUCACUCUGACUCCUGUCUAUCUGCUUCCCAUAUAUCAAUCAGAAUAAUCUUUACAAACAGGAGAGCCUAUCAUCACUUACUUAGAGCAUUUUGAUAACUUUCUUAUACUAGUAUAAUAAAGACAAACUAACUGCUUGAGCUCACAAAACAUACAUACAUCAACUUUAAAUCAUCCCACAUUUCCUCUUGCUUUCUUACUGCAGAGUCAUUGACCAUAGCUUCCUUUUACUAAAAGUUUCUUGCUCCCUCUCAGUGCAAGGCCUUUGUAUAUGUUCAUCCUUCUCCUCUUUCCCUCCUC